rnacentral:misc_RNA from 1 species
UUAUAUUUAAUUGUUUUAUUUGGAAUAAAUAGUAAUAAUAAUAAUAUUAAUAAAUAAAUAUAAAUGUGUGGUUAUGUGGAAGAAUAUGAUAAAGGUAUAAACAUAAGUUGUUGCGAGAGAAGGAAGGAAAAGAGAAUGAGGAGCCGCACCUCUGGAUUCCUUGGUCGACUUGGAGCCAAGUGAGAGGUUGCUUUCGUAUUAAAUCUAGAGAACUUUUGAUCAGAGGAUAGAGAACUAAAGCUAAAGCUAAAGCUAAAGAGCUAAAGAUACCUACCUGUGCUGGGUUGAUAUUACUUUUAAGGAGAACGAAUUCCGAGGGGGCACGUACGAGGAGCUUCGACGCCACUGGGAGCCGCAUACCAUAGACAAGCGAGAGGUCUGGGAAAAGGGGAGAAAGAGGACGAGGAGCACAGCACGAGGAGCUGGACAACCUCAGUUAAGUUAAGUUAAGUGGUGGUGUUGUCUCUGACAACUGGGAAGGAGAACCAGCACUGGAGAGGGCACAGACCAAAGACCAGAGUGGGACGUUGAGAACCACCACGAGGAAGUGAGCGAGACCGAGAUAGUCUCUGGUAAACCCAACGAGAGUGGGCAGCUUGGUGCUGAAGCUGAACCAGCCAUAAUGGUCUAACGCGAUCUCCGCGAGGCGGCUACAGCUGCUGUGAAGAAACCUUUCUUUCUCUAUCUGAUGAUACCAAGAGCAGUAACUCUUACGCUGCUGUAAGGAGUACGAGAGGAUCUUCUCUUUGGGAGUUUUAUUAAAUACGAGGCGAGAUUUUGCAACUCGACCAGGAUAUUUCAACACAACGUGUUAUUAACCUCUUCCAGAGGUUUAUCUGUUGCCACGCCGGAUAACUACGGAAGGGCUUUUGCGUGUGCCAAAUUGUAUAUAUUUUGAUUUUAUUCAGGUCUAACAAAAUGAGAGGUUCAAACCAGGACUCGGCAACGCCAUACUGCAGAUGUCGAGUGCUCUAUCUCGGAAGCUCAGUGCCACAUGCGAGCAAAGAAGGUCUCCUGGGAGUCCAAGAACCCUUACGAGAGCUCUACCCCGAGCAGGGUGCUCUAGGAGCUCGUGGAAUCGACUCCUGGUUAAGUGUCUGGAGCAACGGAUUGUUGCUAGAGAACGUUGACGAGCAUCGAAAGAAAGUAACUCGGUUCUUUCCAAUAGAGUCUCUGCACUACUGCGCGGCAGUUAGACACGUAAAAGGUGGUAGCGGUGACUCAUCAAGCACGAGGUUCCUUCCUCUAGAUUCUCCGUUCGCGAGAAACCCAAGUGCUAAUCAUCCGCCGCUAUUUGCAGCGGUGUUACGCCGUACAACCGGGAUUAAAGUCCUCGAGUGCCACGCCUUUAUAUGUAAGCGUGAGAUGGCGGCCAACGCCCUGGUGAGAUGUUGCUUUCACGCUUACGCGGACAGCAGCUACGCUAAAGGUCUUGAUCCCUCGAUGGCGACAAUAACAACCAACGGAAGCUCACCCGGAUCCCAUCCUGCGAACGGUACCACCAACGGGAGUCUCUACAACACACUCGGCGGCUCCAGCACCACCUUGGACAACAACAGUCCUCCUGGUACCAGGAUGGACACGACGUCUACCGACGACAUGAGUCUCUACAACGGUGACGAGAACCACAAAGUGUGGGCCAAGGGGAGAGACGAGAUAGACGCUGUUUAUCAGGAGCAGGGGACCAUCAGAAGCACCAGAGGCUCCAGGCCCAGGCAGCUGAUAGCUCCGCCACCUCCUCCGCCCCCACCGCCUCCGCCUUCCCAGCCGAUUCUCGUCGAGGAGUCGACCUCCUCCACCCGGAGGAAAGCCACCAAAAAAUUGAAGAAGAUUAAAAAUCGGUCUGGCCAUGAAGAGCAGCAACCCAUGCAGCUUCCUCAUCACCCGCUUUCUCAUCACCAAAUGCAUCCCCAGGCGAUUUACACAAACGGCCAUGGACACCACACCCUCGGGCACCCCAUCAGGCAGCAGCACCACCACACGCAUCCGAUGCCUCCGAGCAGAUCCGUGGCUGGAACUCUUGCAAGACCGGCUCCAGUUUUCCUGGUGCCCGCUGCGACGCUACCUCGCAAAGCCCAUCAUCACCAUCCUCGGGGAAUGAGGCCAAUACCCGCAGCAGCGCCAAUUGUCCCGGUUUACGCGCCACUGCCGGUGGUACCGCCGCCUCCUGCUGCGAUGUAUCAACCUACCUAUGGCACUGCGGGGAACCGCGGACGGAGACACCAGGAAAUGGACUCGUCGACCCUCGGUGUCAACCGGAGACUCGCUGUGUCUCAUGCUGACCUCACCGCGGCAAUCACUCUUGAUGGCAAUCAGGAUAAUCAUGAAAGCGAUUCGCGGUUUAAUACUGGAAUUUACCGGCGUAAGGGACACAUUAAUGAGCGUGCUUUUUCCCAGAGCAUUAAAGCUGAGCACAGAAGCAGAAGCUACGGAAGCAUCGCGUCGUUGGGAUUCAGCGCUCAGAAUGGAACCACUUUGCCUAAGGACGAAAUAAAAGACCGUGAAAUAGCUCAAAUGGUUGCUGGGUUAAAUCUUGAUGAUAGCAAUGAUAAAGUUUAUAAUAAUCGGGGCAAUCAUUUGGCUCAGCCACUUCCAAGGCCCAGACCGCGUUAAUUUUUUAUUUAAAUAUCGGGUUUGGAUUUUUAAGUAAUUGAUAAUUACUCACGGAAUGUUUAUUUUUAAUUGUUAUUACAAAGAGCCAUUGUAAAUUGUCAGUUUUAUUGUUUGGAAUAGUAAGUUGACCUAGCCAGACAUUUAAGUUAUUAACUAUCUCUCAUUGAUUGUUUAUGAGAGCGUUGACUUUACUUGUCUCAACUCAACUCACAGUACUUGUAUUACGAGUCUGAGGCUAAGGCUCAGCCUGAUUAUGAUGGGAAUAAUAUAUAAGUAUAUUGAAACUAGAGGAAGAAUGAACAUUACGACCUUACACUUGUUACUAACUAAUUAAGCGGAUGAAGAAUAUAAUUGUUUUGUCGUCACGCCGUCGUGUUACCGUCUGCUAUAUUAUUUAACUAAAGUUAAGGAUGUCGACCUUGAGUCAGCGAAAGACCUUUAAUUUUAAAUUAUGCCGGAAGUAUUAAUUAAUUAUAAUAAUUAUUAUUAUCAUUUUUUAUUGUUACUGUGAUGAUAAUAAUUAUUAUUAUUGUUUUUGUUGUUGGAAUUAAAUUUGGAAGAAUGUGAAGAUUUAUUAUAUGGAAUUUUAUAAAAAUACCUGCAAAAUAUUAACAUAAAUUAUCUACGUAUUAGAUUUGACACGUGGAAUUUUUCGAAUAAUAAAUGUGUUAAGUUAGGUGGCCUAAAUACCUGGUCGUCGACUUGCAGGCAACGGAUCAAUGGAAUUAAAUUACGUUAUAUUAAAUAAAUAUAAAUAUGUACACGGCAAAAACAAGAUGAUACUGGAUAUCAUUCCAGAUUAUACUCCGUGAUAUCUGUUGUGAAAAAAAAUUUCAGAUAGU